GUGAAUCAUCGAAUCUUUGAACGCACAUUGCGCCCGCCAGUACUCUGGCGGGCAUGCCUGUUCGAGCGUCAUUUCAACCCUCAAGCCCCCGGGCUUGGUGUUGGAGAUCGGCAACUGCCCCUCGCGGGUGCGCCGCCUCCUAAAUCUAGUGGCGGUCUCGCUGUAGCUUCCUCUGCGUAGUAAUUCACCUCGCUCUGGAACGCGGCGCGGCCAAGCCGUUAAACCCCCCACUUCUGAAGGUUGACCUCGGAUCAGGUAGGACUACCCGCUGAACUUAAGCAUAUCAAUAAGCGGAGGA
rnacentral:misc_RNA from 1 species